AGUGGGAUAGCUGGGUCAAAUGGUGGUUCCAUUCCAAGUUUUCUGAAGAAGCUCCAUACUGCUUUCUAGAGUGGUUGCACCAAUUUUCAGUCCCACCAGCAAU
rnacentral:pre_miRNA from 1 species